CGGGUGAGUAAUAUAUCGGAACGUGCCCAGUCGUGGGGGAUAACGUAGCGAAAGCUACGCUAAUACCGCAUACGAUCUAUGGAUGAAAGCGGGGGAUCGCAAGACCUCGCGCGAUUGGAGCGGCCGAUAUCAGAUUAGGUAGUUGGUGAGGUAAAGGCUCACCAAGCCGACGAUCUGUAGCUGGUCUGAGAGGACGACCAGCCACACUGGGACUGAGACACGGCCCCAGACUCCUACGGGAGGCAGCAGUGGGGAAUUUUGGACAAUGGGCGCAAGCCUGAUCCAGCAAUGCCGCGUGCAGGAUGAAGGCCUUCGGGUUGUAAACUGCUUUUGUACGGAACGAAACGGUGAGCUCUAAUACAGUUUGCUAAUGACGGUACCGUAAGAAUAAGCACCGGCUAACUACGUG
rnacentral:rRNA from 1 species